AUCACAAUAACCGGUUUCAUCUAUAAUCAGUAAUCAAUUAGUAUUAUUAAUUUAAUUUCUUUUUGUAUUUGGCAAUACGGGCGAGAUUUAGCCCAACCCGACAACUAUUCUGACCCGAUGGGAAAGAUGCGUGACCAAGGUCUAUCUCCACCAGAGACGCCAUUGUCGCCCAGAGGAAGAACACCGUUACCGUUCCAUGGAUCUUAAUGUAUUGUCUUCACCCACUUGCGCUGGUUUUUCUUGCUUUGAAUCUGAGCUAUGACUCGAUGUUCAUCAUUCCGCCAAGUCGGUCAUCCUCUCCCCCAACCCGGUUCGUGGCUGGAUCGAAACCGAUCGUGGAGCAUGGAUCCCCGUCGUAGCCGCAUGAAGAGGCCGAUUCUGGCCCGCCACUUUCUUCACCUUCAAAACGAUCUCCUUGUUCGGUCAUUCUCCACCGCAGAAUCACAUGGUCGCCAUUUGCCAUCAUCGCUUCGGAGCUUGGAGCGGUUGGUUGCGUCGACGAUCCGAUAGGCUUCGCGUGCUUCUAUAUGAGAACUGUCCAGACUUGCAUCUUGUAUUGAGUUACGGUUUCCUGCGAUGCUUGGAGAGUUUCCAGCCUGUUGGUAUCGAUUGCCACAUUCCCUGUGUAGCUGGUUGAGACGAUACCCACUGUUAUCGCUCCCGAUAAUAGAUAAGUACCCAUCUGUUCUCAGUCUCACGCUUUGUUGGUUGAUUCCUUGCCUCCCUUUGCAUGAUUGUUCUAAUCUCAUGUGUUUGACUAUAGCAGCAAGUCUGAUUCCAAAGUAGGCAAGCACAUUAGCUAUUAGACCAUUUCAUAAAUGAGGCCACCAGGGGUGCACUAAACUCCUUACCAAAAUCUCCACCUGCAACAUCAACAAACAACAGAAGUCUCUGUUGCCAAUCCUUAGAUCUCCCUUUGUAAGGUGUGUUGGAAUAAGAUGGGGGUGCUAUGGCCGACCUUCACCGGCUUUGGAAAGAGCUUCAGUUAAUCAAAUAUUAAUAGUUUUUCAAUUUAUUGCCGAUCACAUCUGUGUCAGCCUACUUUGAUCUUCCAUUGAGUAACUUGAAAGGAUAUUUGAGUCUGCUUUGUUGUGGCCAUGGAGAGAUGAACUACGAAGAUUGUUGAUUGGGUGCUCUUUGAUGAAUCAUUGAGGUCCAGCGAAGGCAAAUGAUUCGUAAUCAAAACCGAAACAGGGAAAGUAAAACGCAUGGACAGCAUUCAGUAGUACCCUUGGAGCUUUCAUGAUUGUUAUUCAACUGAACUUUCCGUGAGAUUGAAGGCUUGUGAUAUGGGGUAGUGGAUUGAUCUCUCUCUCUCUCUCUGCUUAAGUCAGAAUUUGAGCUGGAGAGAUUUUGACAGUGGCAACCAAUGCUUCUAAUAGAGCAUGAAAGCAAUCUCGUCAGCCAUCUCCGUUGUGAUUCUCCAAGUUCUUUCAGAUGUUUGGUGUCCAGGCAACUAAAUGCAUUUUUGCCGCUGCAGACAUAAAGGCAUAAUGUUUGGUUAAAAGGAGGAAAAUGUCUUCAUGCUAAUGCUUCCUUUCAAGUUCAUCGACAGGUAGGUAGCUGCCAGUAGUAUCUACAAAAUCAAGCAUUAUACAAACACCUAAUCAUCAAGUGUGGUCGACCCAAGUUACAAACUCGAGCUAAGUAUGUCAUCACCAAGCAUCUUCCAUGUAUUUUGCCAUACAUGUUCUGGUCUUUCCAUUGAGUUAGAUGCCAUAAGAAUUGCAAAUAGCUUCCUUAGGUACUCUCCUGAACCCCAAUGGCUUGCUUCCUCUAUUGCAUCAAUGUAUUUUUUAUCAUCAUCUAAUAAACCUUGUGCAUAACAUGCGUCUCUGCAAGAUGGAUAAAGAACCCCAUCGAUAGUUCUGAUGUCCUCAUAGUAAGUUGGACCCCUUGAAAAAUUUAGAAGUAGCCUAAGAUAGUAAAUGUCACUAGAUCCAGGUGGGACAAAGAAUAUCCUCCUAAUAACCGAAUGAGAUUUGCACAGGAACUACUUUCGUGGAUUAGGCUUCCAAACAAAUUUAGUAGGGAAUUCCACAUAUGUUAAGUUCCGUGCUUCUGGAUAUUUUUUUAUUAGCCUCAAUCCAUCCCAAAAACAUUGACUCCUUCACCGAAGACUUCCUAGCAACAUCAUCUAGGCUCUCGUGGUCUUUAAAUACCACAGGUUGCUCACUGGGUAAGUGAAACCCCAAUCUUACAACUGAAGGAUCUCUAUAGUGGAUAUUGUAGCCAAAGAUUCGCCAAGCUGCUUCACAUGGAGAAAUGUAUCUACAAUCAUAUUACAUACUCACUUCAUCACAAUCAUCUUCUUCAGCAUUAGUUGCAGCACUUUUAUAAAAUGAAGCUGUUACUCGAUCAUGACCUUUAUUCACAUACUUGAAUAAAUAUUUGAUUGAUCUUGACUGGUUGCACCACUCGACAUUAACAUGUGCUCCAUAUUUCAAUAGUAGCUUCCUAUUGUGUGCCACUACAUACCGAUUGUCAAGAUCAAUGCCGGACUUGUUGAUUGUCUUUCCAUCUUCUCUACGUCUAUAAAUCGGAUAACCAUCUUCAUCAACUGUCGUACUAUCAACAAAUCUCUUAGGAAAGUGGCGUAUGCAUUUACCACUCUCCAUGCAUGGAGAAUAUUUCUUGAGAGCUCCACAUGGUCCAUGCAUCAUGUGCUUUCCAACUGCUUCAUAGUAUACAUGGUCAUUCUCUUUGUUCGGAAUUUCAGCACUAAUUAUAUGAUCUAUAUCUUCUCCUGUUGGGUAUUUGUCAUCGCGGUGGAGAAAUAAUAGGAUAUGUGCAUGAGGCAAUCCACGCUUUUAAAAUUCAAUGGUAUACACAACUGCGAGAAUAAAAAAAACACAACAAAAUUGUUGUUAAAUAAUUUGUGUUUAUAUAAAUAAUCAAAAUAUAUGAUAGAACUACCUUAUAAUUUUACCAAACCAUAGUGGCACAUAUAAGGAACUCAAGAUUAACAUUGUGCAUGUAACUAAUUAUUGUAUGUGACAUUUUAACACAUUUUUGAUAUAUAUAGAUAGAUUUAUUUAGUAUCUUUUUCGUAUAUAUUUGGUUCUAAAUUCUGCUUUCCACCUAUAUAUGUAAUAUCUCCAAUAAAUACAUAUAAUUAUGUUUGACAAUCUUUAUAUAUUGGAUUAAAACUAAAAAUACCUGCAAUGACCCUGCCAAAAAUCAUAUUCUUCCGUAUGUCUUUGAUGAGUCGAUCCAAUUUAACUUUGAAGGCUCUACAGACCAUGUCCGGUCGGUCUUCUGCAUUUAAUUGUCUGUUCUUUAGGAAGUCUUCUAGCUCUGGCCACUUUGGAUUACACGUAAAUGUCAAAAAAAGGUCUGGAUAACCAACAAAACGACAUAUUGCCAUUGCAUCUUGAUAAUUUUGUAUCAUAUAUCUAGGGCCUCCAGUAAAUGAUGAUGGCAAUAUAAUACGCUUGCCACGUGAUGAUGGUGUCGUCUCACCAGACAACACUGCUUCUGUAAUUCCUUUGUACAUCUCACAUCUAAAUUUUUCUUGGUCAAGGCGAAUGUAUGUUGAUCUGGAUAACUCAAUUAUUGAGUAACCAUCAACCAAAAAUUGUUGGAAUAAUCUCCUUGAGUAAACUAAAGGGGAACCAUCCGCAUAUCUCUCUUGUAUCCUAUAUGCAAAGAAUUCCUUCAUUGAUACUUCUUGACGACCUCUUUCAGAGUUAACACUACGUUUGUUUAGGGGUAUAUCUUCUUUGUAGCCAUCUUCGCCGUACGGAAAUAACAAAUGAUAUUGUAAGCCCAAGUAUGCUGGAUUAAGCUGGUUUAUUCGCUUGAGUUUUCCACUUUGAGUCUCAACCACAAUAUCAAAUCAUAUUUUAAAUUAUAUAUUAAAUCAUACAACACUUUUGGAGCUUCUUGAAGCUGCGGAAGUUCCACCUGACCACCUCUGCAGCAACUUGUAUACUUGGUUCAUUUGUGUUGUAAUGUUUUUGGAUUCUCUCUUCGUACCAAAACAGAGCUUGGCAAUGUUCACAUUCAUGGGCUAAAUCUCUCAUAUGCCAAUAUUCUGACAAACAUGCCAUGAACAUAUUAGUUAAUUUUGUAUUUUUCAAUAAUAAACCCGUGGUGAAGAAGUGUCACAAAUUCUGGUAUAAUAAUUUACAUUACAUACCUUCAUCUAUUGUUGAUGUUGAGCCUAUACUUGAUCUAGUACUUCUGACAAUUGUUUUCCUAAUGCCAUUCUUUCCAUUUCCUGAUAAAUUUUACAUGAGAUAGCUGUUGAGUUGAUACUUAUGAUUCUUUAGUAGUCAUUGAAUAAUGAUAAGG